GAUGAACGCUGGCGGCGUGCCUAAUACAUGCAAGUCGAGCGAACAGACGAGGAGCUUGCUCCUCUGACGUUAGCGGCGGACGGGUGAGUAACACGUGGAUAACCUACCUAUAAGACUGGGAUAACUUCGGGAAACCGGAGCUAAUACCGGAUAAUAUAUUGAACCGCAUGGUUCAAUAGUGAAAGACGGUUUUGCUGUCACUUAUAGCUGGAUCCGGGCCGUAUUAGGUAGUUGGUAAGGUCACGGCUUAACAAGGCAACGAUGCGUAGACGACCGGGGAGGGGGGUAGGCCAACCGGGAAGGGAGACCGGGUCCAGAGUCCUACGGGAGGCAGCAGUAGGGAACCGUCCGCAAUGGGGGAAAGCUUGACGGAGCAACGCCGCGUGAGUGAUGAAGGUCUUCGGAUCGUAAAACUCUGUUAUUAGGGAAGAACAAAUGUGGAAGUAACUAUGCACGUCUUGACGGUACCUAAUCAGAAAGCCACGGCUAACUACGUG
rnacentral:rRNA from 1 species